AAUGGUAAAAGAAUAAAUACAUUUAUAUUGGCGCUCUACAGGGCGCUUUCGAGGACCGGGCUCUGGAGGGUGCUUUUGAGGUGCAGGCUCUGGGGCUAGAGCCGACACCAGAGGGCUUGACUUUCCCACGGACGCCAGUGGGCUUGAAUGAGCCGCGGAUGGCGGCGGGUUUGGCUUCCCCGUGGACGGCGGCGGGCUUUGCUUUCUCGCGGACGGUGGGCUUGAGGGAGUCGCGAACGGCGGCGGGCUUGAGAGUGCCAUGAGUGGUGGCAGGCUUGUUCUGGCUCGGGCCCGGACACUCCUGGGAGGUCUGGGAGGUCCACGGGGCGAUAGUAGCCCCGAGCCAGAACAGCAAAGUGAGAAUGGCGUCAUCCCACGCCGUCGCCGUGGCGAGCCCACAGAAUUCCACGGCAUACUCAAAGAAGGGGAGAUCUUGACAAGCUACACUGUAAAAAAAAUCCGUAAAAAUACAGUACAAUAUACCUUAAUAAUUUGAAGGAAUUUUCCGUAUUUGGUUUUUACAGGUGUUUUUCCGUAUUUUUUAAAUUACGCUUUGCAUUGUGGGAACAAGAAGCUCAGUCGAUUAUACGCACUACCGGCACAUCCGGGAACUUAACUGUCAAUUUCGUUACCGCCCCUUUUUGGGGGAAAACAAACUAGACUUCCCAUAGGCUUCAAUACAAAAUAGGGCAAAAAGCAAAGUCCAUACACAGCCGACAGACGUGAAUCACUUAAGUAAUCACUAGGAUUAAUCAUGUCAAGUAAUUAUAUGUCCACCCUGCCUGCCAUAGAGCGUGAAAGAUACAUCCAUAAACUUAAUUUGGUCAAUUUAAAAACUCAUUAUCCCAGCGUCAAAUUGGUGUAACAACCCCACCCAGUGGCCAGAGGUGUCUUGCCGGACAUUUACUCGUACCUAAUCUAAUCACCAGGUAAACCAGUGAAUGAUUUUACUUCAUUUGAAAGUAAACAUCUUUAAAUGUAUAUAUUAUGUCCUUAUAUUUAGAGUACUGAGUGCACUUUUCUGUCCAGCCAUACAACUAGCCUGGCUUCGCUUUCGAUAGCAUCAUCCGUAAUACAUAAUAUUUCCAUAACAGCAAGAUAUGGAUGAUGGUGGCAGGUAGCCUGGGCUAAAUUUGGGUUUUUACAAACAUUAUUGGUGCACCCAACCACACAACAACUCUUUGGCAUGUUGUAAGGUUAGUCCACUUCCUCGAUCCGAUGCUGUAUGGCGGUUUGUUUUCCCCCAAAAGUGGGCGUGAACCUGUUCAGAGACAUUCAAUGACGUUGCGCCGGUUGUGAGUAUCGGCGCAAAAACAGUGCUUGAGCAGACGCCAUUAUUCACAGAGAUAGUCUCGGUAAAAAUUUCAUUUUAAAGUCGGAUUUCGGGUUUGAGGAACCGUUUUUACACUUCCGUGGUAAAUUAUAUUUUGUUAAAUGUAACAAACUGUAACGUUAACUUAGUUGCUGUCUUCCUUGUUUGCCAAAUGAAUAUCGGAGGCUCGGAGCCGUCGCAUUUGACAUUUUCAGCACACCGUCACAUCUCACUCGACGUGGAGGCAAGUUACGUGUUACAGUGUGCUCACUUUCAGUUUUAUCAAUAAGUUUAUUAACUUUUAAUUGUUGUUGAUGCGGUGUAUUUGUUACUGCGCGUGCCGUAAAGCAUCCGGCAUGUUAACGUUACUGAGGCGAUGUUAAGCUGUGAUAACGUUAAAUCUGAAGUGUCGUACAACUGUGUUUAGAGCGCUGUGUGCCUUCAACAGAAGCUGGCAGAGGAAUUGUCAAGAAAAGAAGAUAUUACGACUUUUUUUUAUUCUUUAAAAGAGAUUAUACAAUAGGUGAAGAUCUGACAUCGCGGAAUUCUUCAAGGAUAACGCAACUUUUCUGCCAAACGAGGUUGUAAUUGCUGCUGUAUUGUGCAUCCCAAGUACUCCCUGCAUUCUUAUCAAGGAUUGCUGUCAUUCAAGAACUUAUCAUUUCCUCCCCCAUUGUGGCUGAGCUACACAUUCUCUUCAUUUUAUUUUAAACAUAAAACAUCCAGAGGAGAUGGCACCUACGUUGGAAUUCAUACAAAUGCCAUACAAGUUUGUUUGUUCAUUAGAACAAAUAUGAAGAAAUCUAGUUUUACAUCACUUGCUCAUGGAAAGGCUGGCGUCAGAAUGAGAGUUCAAACAGCUGAUAAAACAUCACAAUAAUCCACAGGUAAUCCACAUGACACCAUCAAUUAAUGCCUUGUAAAGCAAAAAUCUGCGUGAUUGUAAUAAACAAGUCUAUCAUCAGUUGCUUCCAGCUAAAACCUUGAAUUACCUGAAGGUAAGUAAAUUUCUAGCAAAUUUUCAUUUUUUGUUGAACUGUUUGUUCUUUGUUAGAAACAUCCUAAGUUGCUUUUACUAGUUCAAAAGUGUGGUUAAGUACACUUUUAAAAAAGUGCAAUUUGUCAUGUCAUAUUAAAAGUUUUAUUUUAAAGUACGGUACAUUCUAAAUCACUGGUUUAAUAUUGUUCUGUAAGGAGCCCUUUACAUGACAUUGUGGUGGGAAAAAUUCGGGGUGAAUGGAAAAAAAUUCAGGGUGGGAGGAAUUUUUUUUUUCAAAUGUUUUGCGUUCUCUCGCAAAACUUUUGCGUUCCCUCGAGAAACUUUUGCUUUCUCUCGCAUAGAUAUUUGCGUUCCUUCGCAAAACUUUUGCGUUCUCUCGCAAAACCAUUUGAGUUCGGACAAACGCUUCCUGUUUACUUUGCAGCUUGCAGUGGUUACAGCUCGUAUGUUCACAAUGGAUCGGUUCAUAGAGUUUUAUUUUGAACUUGCACUCAAAGUAAUACAGUCAGUGCAUAUGUCGAAGCACGGUUUUGGGACAUUCUAAAACGCUUAAUGUGGCUUAAUGUUUUAAAACCGUGACAUUGGAGGACUAAAUUCGAUAAUAAUAAAUCCUGAUAAAAAUUAUUAGGCUAGCAUUAAUAACCUUAUUAAUAAUAUUAAUAAAGCAGAAUAUGAACGCAACGCCCUGCACAUUAAGCCUUUUCUUCCCCAUAGAAAAGGUAGGCUAUAAUGAAAGGUUCAUGCAGCUCGUAUGUUCACAAUGGUUCAUAGAGUUUUAUUUUGAACUUGGACUCAAACUAAUUAAAGGGUUGGUUUACUGCGAUUUCACUUUUUUCAUUUUAAAUAGUGUGUAAUGUUGCUGUUGGUGCACGAACAGUAUCUGCAAAGUUGCUGCGCUGAAAGUUCAACGUAAGCGGAGAUAUCGUCUUUUAAAAAUCAGGAAGUUUAAUGCCUACAAAAACGACUCAUAUGGGACUACAACGAGAUACUUCCCGGGUUGCAUACGUAAAAAACCCAUCAACCCCUCCCUCCGGAACAUGCCAAAGAGGGGGCAAGGCCAUGUUCUGCGGAGUUGUAGCCAUGCCGUCGAAACGGUGUUAUUUUCACCCAGCUGUCAGGUCUUCUGUGUUCGGGCUUCCUACGGAUGCUGUAGUUCCUCAACAAUGGUUCAAAUUUAUGUCUGAUUAUGUUCCUAACAAUUACAAUCGUAAUUCAGCUCUCUGUGCUGUGCAUUUUACGGAAGACAGCUUCCAGAAUCUACACGAGUUCAAUGCCGGAUUCACACAGAAACUAUUACUAAAACAUGGAGCGGUUACAACUUUAAAACCACAAGCAGCAGUUGUUGGGCCACAACCUGUAAGUAAGAUUUCAUAACUUUAAAUGUGUUUGCAUGUAUAAUUUCAGACGUAAUGUUUUAGUUUUAUCAAGGUCGUAAACAAAUGCCAACGCUGGCUUUAGUAGCCAGUUAGUUACAUGAUGUUUAGUGUGUCUUUGACAAACGCGUACAAACAUUUUGGACCCGAAUUUGUAAUUAUGUACUAAUUUUGUUAAUGUAUUUUCCAUGUAUACUUUAUGACGUAAUUUUUCAAUUUGAUCAAGACCGUAAACACAAGCCAACGCUGUUUGGUUAUAGUAGCCAGUUAGUUCGAUGCUAUUUUGUGUGUGUAUAAGACAAACGUGUACAAACUUCAAAAAAUGAUAUGUAAUCACAACAGCAAACUUCCAUUCAGAAACGUUUGUAAAAGCCGUGCUCGCGGAAGUUCUGCUCGACUCUCUUCAUUACCGCUUUCUGGGUCUGAUUCUGGCUCAAACUGAUACUGUGUUAUGGAUCAACUGGGGAUGGUGUUAACUGGGGAUGUGCGCGUGCACGGAAGUAUGUUUAUCUGGAUUUCCAGCAGAUGUUAGACGGCGACAGAUUCGUCACUGCGAUAUUCCACGGGUCAUAGAUUAAAAAUCGUUUUUCAACAGUUGUAUACAGGCAUCAUGCACAAAGCUUUUUGAUUCCGCGGUGUCCGUACCUGCGUAUGUCACGCGGUUUUAGGGAAGUUUCCAUGCUCCGAUCUCACGCUCACAACCACGCCCACGUUAACAAGGGACAUUUUGUUUCAAUGGAUGAUCAAACAUGAAGUAAAAAAUGUGUUUUCUUUUCAAUAUUAGCCUACUGUAUCACAUUGUGUCUGUAGUGUGCUGUCAUGUGUUCUAAAUAACAGGGGGGGGGAAUGGGCUACUUUGGCUUGGUUUGAGUUUGUGUGAUUUUACUCUGCUAAUUUUAUUAUCUGAGAUUUCUUGCUUGUACAGUCAGCUCUGGUGCCUCUCUAUCCUCUUCCCUGGACAUAAAGUUUCAUCCUGGAUUUAUGACUGAUCUGAAAUCAACAUUUUGCAUUGGCUUAGAACUCUGCUUAGAAUUCUGUACUCAGUUUCUUAUAAUCAUAUAAUCAAUUAAAUUAACUUAAUUUUAUAUAUGCUUAAUAGUGUGUCUGUAUUGUACUGUGCAUUAUGCUCAGUUACGUGCUUCAAUAUAAAUGUUGUGAAUCUGUUGUCUUUCAUUGAACAUGUAGAGAACACUUUGUUUUAAGUAAAUUCUAAGUUCAUGACUCCUGGUUUUCAUUUUACAUAUAGGCCUACUGGUCUCUUGCCAGACUACUAGUGUUUCCAACCAUAGAAAACAUGUUAUGUGCAGUGCAUCAAAGCCAAACUCUUUAAGUAUGUGUGAUGAACACAGGAAGGCAUUUUUCCACAAUUUGAAUGUGCGAUAUAUUUUACAUGUAUGGCAUGUUUAUAUUUUUAAGGUGGCAAAGUGUUUGACAGGUGUUUAUUAAAAGUGAACCAUGCUGUAGGAUCUUUCUUACUGCCUCAUAGCUUCUUUUUCUAGUUUCCAUGUGACAAUCACUCAGCACCCACAACUUUUUCAUGACUGACACAGGCAGAACAUAUGAUGCUGUGAUGAUGAAUUAUUAUUACAUAUAUGGCUAAUAUUGCAAAAGACAGUAUACAUCACUAACCUCAUUUGGCAUCUUACACGAAUAUGAUACCUCUCUCCCAAACAUUAAUUAGAAUAGGAAAACCUUCAAUAUUUACUUUAUUGCAGACUUCUUGAACUAAAAAUA